UACGUAGGGUGCAAGCGUUGUCCGGAAUUAUUGGGCGUAAAGAGCUCGUAGGCGGUUUGUCACGUCGGCUGUGAAAACCCGAGGCUCAACCUCGGGCCUGCAGUCGAUACGGGCAGACUAGAGUAUGGCAGGGGAGACUGGAAUUCCUGGUGUAGCGGUGAAAUGCGCAGAUAUCAGGAGGAACACCGGUGGCGAAGGCGGUUCUCUGGGCAUUACCUGACGCUGAGGAGCGAAAGUGUGGGGAGCGAACAGG
rnacentral:rRNA from 1 species